rnacentral:rRNA from 1 species
CCAGACUCCUACGGGAGGCAGCAGUAGGGAAUCUUCGGCAAUGGACGAAAGUCUGACCGAGCAACGCCGCGUGAGUGAAGAAGGUUUUCGGAUCGUAAAACUCUGUUGGUAGAGAAGAACGUUGGUGAGAGUGGAAAGCUCAUCAAGUGACGGUAACUACCCAGAAAGGGACGGCUAACUACGUGCCAGCAGCCGCGGUAAUACGUAGGUCCCGAGCGUUGUCCGGAUUUAUUGGGCGUAAAGCGAGCGCAGGUGGUUUAUUAAGUCUGGUGUAAAAGGCAGUGGCUCAACCAUUGUAUGCAUUGGAAACUGGUAGACUUGAGUGCAGGAGAGGAGAGUGGAAUUCCAUGUGUAGCGGUGAAAUGCGUAGAUAUAUGGAGGAACACCGGUGGCGAAAGCGGCUCUCUGGCCUGUAACUGACACUGAGGCUCGAAAGCGUGGGGAGCAAACAGGAUUAGAUACCCUGGUAGUCCACGCCGUAAACGAUGAGUGCUAGAUGUAGGGAGCUAUAAGUUCUCUGUAUCGCAGCCAACGCAAUAAGCACUCCGCCUGGGGAGUACGACCGCAAGGUUGAAACUCAAAGGAAUUGACGGGGGCCCGC